rnacentral:lncRNA from 1 species
AUGGCUGUUGUAAUGAGUGACAUACCUGUUGUAUUAAGUGGCAUGAUUAAUGUGUUGAGUGUUGUUGUAGUUUUAUCAAGUGCUGUGACUGUUGCAGCUGUUGUGUCAAUUGAUGUGGCUGUUGUACUGACUGUAGGGUUUGUUGAACUGAGUCUUGUGACAGUUAGGUUGAGUGGUGUGACUGUUGUGUUGACUGAAUAUGUUAAGUUUUGUACUGUUGUAUUGACCGGUGGGGUUGUUACAUUGAGUGCUAUAUCUGUUGUACUGUCCAAUGAGGUUGUUAUAAUGGGUAUGCCUGUUGUGCUAACUGGUGCAGUUGUUAUUUUAGGUGUUGUAUUUGUUGCACUGAUUGAUAAUGGUGGUACAUUGUGUGGUGUACUUGUGUUGAUUGUCAUUUCUGUUGUUUUGACUGGAGAGGUUGUAAUAUUAUGUGGUGUACUUGUUGUAUGGACCAGUGCAGCUGUUACAUUGAGUGUUGUAUCUCUUGUACUGGCCGAUGAAUUUGUUGUAUCGAAUGUGGUUUCUGUUAUUUUGGCUGGGGUUGUUAUAUUGUGUGUUGGAUCUAUUGUAUGGACCAGUGAGGGUGUUAUACUGUGUGCUGUAUCUGUUGUAUGGAUCAGUGAGGUUGUUAAAUUGAGUGUUGUUUUUGUUGUACUGACUGGUGAGGUUGUUAUAUUGUAUGGUAUAUUGUUUGAGGUACCUGUUGUGCUGACUGGUGAGGUUGUUAUAUUGUGUGUUCUAUCUGUGGUGCUGACUGGUGAGGUUGUUAUAUUGAGUGUUGUUUUGACUUGUGAGGUUGUUAUAUUGUAA